CAAACUGAAGAUGGCGACCGGCGCACGGGUGAGUAACACGUAUCCAACCUGCCGAUAACUCCGGAAUAGCCUUUCGAAAGAAAGAUUAAUACCGGAUGGCAUAGUUCUUCCGCAUGGUGGAACUAUUAAAGAAUUUCGGUCAUCGAUGGGGAUGCGUUCCAUUAGGUUGUUGGCGGGGUAACGGCCCACCAAGCCUUCGAUGGAUAGGGGUUCUGAGAGGAAGGUCCCCCAUAUUGGAACUGAGACACGGUCCAAACUCCUACGGGAGGCAGCAUG
rnacentral:rRNA from 1 species